GGGAUGAACGCUGGCGGCGUGCUUAACACAUGCAAGUCGAACGAUGAAGGCUGGAGCUUGCUCUGGCUGGAUUAGUGGCGAACGGGUGAGUAACACGUGAGUAACCUGCCCCUGACUCUGGGAUAAGCGCUGGAAACGGCGUCUAAUACCGGAUACGAGCUUCCACCGCAUGGUGAGGAGCUGGGAAAGAUUUUCGGUCUGGGAUGGACUCGCGGCCUAUCAGCUUGUUGGUGAGGUAAUGGCUCACCAAGGCGACGACGGGGUAGCCGGCCUGGACGAGGGGUGACCCGGGCCACACGUCGGGACUGGAGACAACGGCCCAGGACCGUCUACGGGAGGCAGCGAGGUGGGGAAUACUUGCACAAGU
rnacentral:rRNA from 1 species